UACGGAGGGUGCGAGCGUUAAUCGGAAUUACUGGGCGUAAAGGGCUCGUAGGCGGCCAACUAAGUCGGAUGUGAAAUCCCCAGGCUCAACCUGGGAACUGCAUCCGAUACUGGAUGGCUUGAAUCCGGGAGAGGGAUGCAGAAUUCCAGGUGUAGCGGUGAAAUGCGUAGAUAUCUGGAGGAAUACCGGUGGCGAAGGCGGCAUCCUGGACCGGCAUUGACGCUGAGGAGCGAAAGCUAGGGGAGCAAACGGG
rnacentral:rRNA from 1 species